rnacentral:rRNA from 1 species
CAAUAGCGUAUAUUAACGUUGUUGCAGUUAAAAAGCUCGUAGUUGGAUUUCUGGAGGGAGCGUCGGCCCGUAUUUACGAGUGCGUGACGUCUCUGUCCAUCCUUGCAGGAAGGCACGGCAUUGAUUUGUUGUGUCGGAUCGCAUCAUUUACUGUGAAAAAAUUAGAGUGUUCAAAGCAGGCUUUCGCUUGAAUACAUUAGCAUGGAAUAAUAAGAUAGGACUUUGGUGCUAUUUUGUUGGUUGAGCCUAAAGUAAUGAUUAAUAGGGAUAGUUGGGGGCACCUGUAUUGCGUUGUCAGAGGUGAAAUUCUUGGAUUUACGCAAGACAAACAGCUGCGAAAGCGUCUGCCAAGGAUGUUUUCAUUAA